rnacentral:rRNA from 1 species
AUUGAACGCUGGCGGCAGGCCUAACACAUGCAAGUCGAGCGGAUGACGGGAGCUUGCUCCUUGAUUCAGCGGCGGACGGGUGAGUAAUGCCUAGGAAUCUGCCUGGUAGUGGGGGACAACGUUUCGAAAGGAACGCUAAUACCGCAUACGUCCUACGGGAGAAAGCAGGGGACCUUCGGGCCUUGCGCUAUCAGAUGAGCCUAGGUCGGAUUAGCUAGUAGGUGAGGUAAUGGCUCACCUAGGCGACGAUCCGUAACUGGUCUGAGAGGAUGAUCAGUCAAACUGGAACUGAGACACGGUCCAGACUCCUACGGGAGGCAGCAGUGGGGAAUAUUGGACAAUGGGCGAAAGCCUGAUCCAGCCAUGCCGCGUGUGUGAAGAAGGUCUUCGGAUUGUAAAGCACUUUAAGUUGGGAGGAAGGGCAGUAAGUUAAUACCUUGCUGUUUUGACGUUACCGACAGAAUAAGCACCGGCUAACUCUGUGCCAGCCGCCGCGGUAAAAC